ensembl:lncRNA
AGAGUUGAUUCAUUGGAAAAGACUCUGAUGCUGGGAGGGAUUGGGGGCAGGAGGAGCAGGGGACGACAGAGGAUGAGAUGGCUGGAUGGCAUCACUGACUCGAUGGAUGUGAGUCUGAGUGAACUCCGGGAGUGGGUGAUGGACAGGGAGGCCUGGCGUGCUGCAAGUCAUGGGGUCACAAAGAGUCGGACACGACUGAGUGACUGAACUGAACUGAACUGAAAGGGACAGAUUUGCUUGUUCAUUUUGCUGAAGGAUCAUGUUUGGAUCAUUUGAUGGAUCAGCAUAUGUACAGCAGAAUUUAAGACUACAGAAUUCCUACUUUUGAGAGUUGCAACAUCGACAAUUACUAAGAGGAAGACUGUGAUACAAUUGUGAAGCAAGCAGUUACUUCUAAGUGGUCACGUAUGGAUGUGAGAGUUGGACUAUGAAGAAGGCUGAGCGCCGAAAAAUUGAUGCGUUUGAACUGUGGUGUUGGAGAAGACUCUUGUUUUUUUUUUUUUU